rnacentral:rRNA from 1 species
GAUGAACGCUGGCGGCGUGCCUAAUACAUGCAAGUCGAGCGAACAGACGAGGAGCUUGCUCCUCUGACGUUAGCGGCGGACGGGUGAGUAACACGUGGAUAACCUACCUAUAAGACUGGGAUAACUUCGGGAAACCGGAGCUAAUACCGGAUAAUAUAUUGAACCGCAUGGUUCAAUAGUGAAAGACGGUUUUGCUGUCACUUAUAGAUGGAUCCGCGCCGCAUUAGCUAGUUGGUAAGGUAACGGCUUACCAAGGCAACGAUGCGUAGCCGACCUGAGAGGGUGAGCGGCCACACUGGAACUGAGACACGGUCCAGACUCCUACGGGAGGCAGCAGUAGGGAAUCUUCCGCAAUGGGCGAAAGCCUGACGGAGCAACGCCGCGUGAGUGGUGAAGGUCUUCGGAUCGUAAAACUCUGUUACUAGGGAAGAACAAAUGUGUAAGUAACUAUGCACGUCUUGACGGUACCUAAUCAGAAAGCCACGGCUAACUACGUG